rnacentral:rRNA from 1 species
UACGAAGGGGGCUAGCGUUGUUCGGAAUUACUGGGCGUAAAGCGUAUGCAGGCGGAUCGUUAAGUCGGGGGUGAAAUCCCGAGGCUCAACCUCGGAACUGCCUUCGAUACUGGCGACCUUCGAGUCCGGGAGAGGUGAGUGGAACUCCGAGUGUAGAGGUGAAAUUCGUAGAUAUUCGGAGGAACACCAGUGGCGAAGGCGGCUCACUGGCUCGGUACUGACGCUGAGGUGCGAAAGCGUGGGGAGCAAACAGG